GCUCCCAUGGGCUCUCAGAAGGCGGCAAAAAGCUGAAUCGUGGCUUUGCAGGCUCUGGCUGAAAAAAAGUAGCGCGUUUGGAUAGUGGCCGGUCACAGUACUAUGAAACUCAGGCUCGUGCACGAGGGGAUCCCAUGCUUUUAUUUUCUCUCUCUUUGUAUGUAUACAUGCUUUCCCGGUCGGAAUAUUAUCGCUUUUUUACGAGACAAAUGGCAUAAAAAUUGAUUUUAACGGUUGACAUGCUUCGAAGUACGGUAAUGGAAUAUUUCAAAUUUUUUUGUCACGAAAUGCGUCGUGCGCAUGACCCUUAUUUACACUUCGGAUAGUGUCUUGAACGCACGAACAAAACGCCGUUAUUUGGAUAUAACUAUGGAUUAUUUUGAACCAAACCAACAUUUGUUAUUGAAGUAGCAGUCCUGGGAGUGCAUUCUGACGAAGAACACCAAAGGUGCUCACAUCUAUGAACGGCUGCUCCAUGAGAUUCCUUUCUGUCAAGCAAUUCUUAAGUACCCGUAGAGCUAUACCACCUGUGAGCAGUCAUCUGACCACCAUGGCACCACCUGUCGUCUUCCUCCCCCCGAACACACUGGAACAGUCACAUCUGCAGCUGAUAUAAUUACAGACGUUACUGCCUCAGCGCCUUCAUCCACGGACCCCUCCAUUGAUAACUUUUGUCCCGCCUGCUCACACAGGUACAUGAACAUCUUCCAGUUACUUUAAGGUGCCCUUACACAUAUGGAUGCUACACACACACACACAUACACACAAUUAGAACACACGCGCACACACUUAUAUGGCUCACACUAAAAUAGACUGGUCGUUGACAACCCUAAGACAUAAACUCCUCCAUUCAGCUCCACACUGCUCUUGCAGUAUCUCAUCUCAGUGAGUGUUAUACCUCACAGUGCUGCUGUCUAGGGGCCAUCAACAGGCUAGCACAGAAGUAGGGAAUAGAGUUAUUAUAUGCUUAAUAUAUCACUUUACAUGAAUCUCCCAAAUGGCACCCUAUUCCCUACUUUUGACCAGGGUCCAUAGGGUGCCAUUUGGGAAACAGCAUUGGGCCUAGAUUCAAUCAGAUCAAGCAUUAACCAGUGUUAGCUGACACCCGCAUAGCUGUUUUGGCGGUGUCGGAUGUGUAACUACGUUGGACCUGUCAAAUCAUUUUCACAAAGCCAGACCCGUCCCACUUGCGUUAGAAGAUCUAACACAUUUUUUUAUUUUUUGAGCAAUUGCCUCUUCCAUUCUUGUGGCAGAGCUGCGAUGAGUUCGUUAUACUUUUGUAUCGAGCAUACAUCUCCAUGCACCUUUGAUAAUUGCUUGUUUGACAUAAUUUUACUGUCAUUAUCUACAAUGUCAUUCACAAACAUUAUACCUUCCUUAUAAAAAAAAUCUACAAAAUUGUGUAUUUCCUCUAUUCUUCCAUUGGAGUUUAGCCAUAUUAUUUGCUGUAAUAUUUGUUCUGCCUCUCCUGGAUGAUGAAAUUGGAAUUGUAACCAACUCUGUGUGGCUUCAUUUAAGAAGGACCAUACUUUAAACAGGGAUCCAUAGUCAAUCUACCGGAAAUUGUUGGUUUUAAUCUGUAUAACAGCAAAAAUACCCCUUUUGAACAUUGGAUAUUCCUGCUGGAAAACCAGUUUGGAUUUAGAUAUGAUUUCGGUUUAAUGGAGGCUUUAAGAGAGAGGUUUAAUGCUUUAAUAUUUAAUAGGUUUAGCCCUCCAAACAUAUGGUUAUGAAAUAAAUAUGCCCAUUUGACUUUAUCUGGUUUGCCAUUUAAAAACAAUUGAUUCUUCCAUGAUUUGAAAAAGGAUUCUCCUGGAGUCGGUAGAGCAAAUGCAAUAUCACUGGAGAAUUAAUCAGGGUAAUGUCACGUCCUGACCAGUAAAGGGGUUGUUUGUUAUUGUAGUUUGGUCAGGACGUGGCAGGGGGUGUUUGUUUUAUGUGGUUCGGGGUUUGUUGGGAUAUGUAUUUAUGUAAGAGGGGUGUUUGUUUUAUGUGUUCCGGGGUUUUUGGGUAUUGUUCUAUGUUUUGUAUUUCUAUGGUUUUUCUAUGUUGUGUAUUUCUUUGUUGGCCUGGUAGGACUCUCAAUCAGGAACAGCUGUACAUCAUUGUUGCUGAUUGGGAGUCAUACUUAGGUAGCCCUUUUAUCACCUGUCUUUUGUGGGAUUUUUUUUAUUUUUUUUUGCAUUGCUGUGUAUAGCCUGCAAGACUGUUUGUCGUUCGUUUUCUUACGUGUCUCAAUAAAAGUAAAUAUGA
rnacentral:lncRNA from 1 species